rnacentral:rRNA from 1 species
GUUGAACGCUGGCGGCAUGCCUUACACAUGCAAGUCGAACGGUAACGCGGGGCAACCUGGCGACGAGUGGCGAACGGGUGAGUAGUGCAUCGGAACGUGCCCAAUAGUGGGGGAGUAGCCCGGCGAAAGCCGGAUUAAUACCGCAUACGACCUAUGGGUGAAAGCGGGGGAGUCGCAAGACCUCGCGCUAUUGGAGCGGCCGAUGUCAGAUUAGGUAGUUGGCGGGGUAAAGGCCCACCAAGCCUGCGAUCUGUAGCUGGUCUGAGAGGACGACCAGCCACACUGGGACUGAGACACGGCCCAGACUCCUACGGGAGGCAGCAGUGGGGAAUUUUGGACAAUGGGGGUAACCCUGAUCCAGCCAUGCCGCGUGCGGGAAGAAGGCUUUCGGGUUGUAAACCGCUUUUGUCGGGGAAGAAA